AUGCACGCUGGCGGCGUGCCUAACACCUGCAAGUCGAGCGGCAGCGAGGGGUGCUUGCACCCUGUCGGCGAGCGGCGGAUGGCUGAGUAACGCGUGGGAACGUGCCCCAAAGUGAGGAAUAACUGCCCGAAAGGGUAGCUAAUACCGCAUAUUAUCUUCGGAUCAAAGGAUUUAUCCGCUUUGGGAGCGGCUCGCGUCGGAUUAGGUAGUUGGUGAGGUAAUGGCUCACCAAGCCGACGAUCCGUAGCUGGUCUGAGAGGAUGACCAGCCAGACUGGAACUGAGACACGGUCCAGACUCCUACGGGAGGCAGCAGUGAGGAAUCUUCCACAAUGGGCGAAAGCCUGAUGGAGCAACGCCGCGUGCAGGACGAAGGCCUUCGGGUUGUAAACUGCUUUUAUAAGUGAGGAAUAUGACGGUAACUUAUGAAUAAGGAUCGGCUAACUACGUG
rnacentral:rRNA from 1 species